UUUAGAAUGAUAGUCAAGCUAUGGCAGGCAAAGCGCCCGUGGUGGCUUGUGAUACUGAGCUCCCCCGCCCUAGGCUCCCCCGCCCUGCCACACUCACGAGGUUAGUUUGUUCCGUGCCCUGAAGCAUGAUGGAAGCCUCCAAGACUCAGACCUCCUGCUACUCCUCACCACACAGUCCAGUCCUCUCUACGUGAGAAGAAAGGCCAUUGGAGCGUCAGGAAGACCCCCAAGACUGAACUCCUACUUUCAUUCUAAAACACUAAGAAUCUCACUAUGAGAUUCUACACAUAUGGAACUUGGUUUACCACUUGGAUCGUACUUUCAUCACUUUGUAAUCAUAUACUUUUUUUUUUCCAAUCAACAUAUACAUAAUCUCAACAAUAUACAUUACUCACAAAUCACAAGUUAUGAAAGUAACUGCUCCAUAAUUGAAUUUCAGUAGUAGAUAUUAACUCGUCAAACACAAGGUUUUACUUCAACAAAUAAAAUAUUACCACAACACAUAAAAAUUAUGCAACUUUUAUAAUUUAUUUUACAUACAUAAUAAUUCCUCAUUUGUUUCAUCUCUUAAUUUAUAUGUUUAUUUACUAACAAAACAUAAAACUACUAUUAUAAUGAUAAUAGUAUAUAAUUUAAAUUUAUGCCAGUCAAUAAAUUAAUUAGAGGUUAAACUUACAGAAUUCUAAUAUUAAUAUAUUAUAAUAUAAUAUUAACAAAACUAAGUUAACAUUUCUAUACUGUUAUAUAUCUAAUAUAUAUACUAAUCUGUAUAAGUUGAUAAUUAUUAUAUAAUAUAAAAGGUUCACCACAAAAAUUAUAGAAUAAGCAUAUUAUGUAAUAUAUAAUAUUAUGAAAUAUAUAAUAUAACGUAAUAUACUAUUUAAUCUUAGCAUUGCUAUUUCCAAAACUAAGUUACAGUAUUCCUAUCCUUUAAAAGGUUUUCCCAAACUUUUAAAAAAGAACAAGUAUGAUUCAUUUCUUUAAUAAAAGCAUCACAUAAACUAAGAAUUGUUUAUACAAGGUCUCUGCAUCACGUGAUCAACCAAUUUAAACAUAAAUUAUACAUCAUAGAAUAUAAAAUACAAAAUAUAUUUAACAUUAUACAAUCUAAUAUUUUUUUUCAGAAUAUAUAACUUAAAUUAUAACUUUUGUAUUUUAAAUUGUCUAUUUCAAAAUAAAAUAAAUAUAUUUUAAAUUGUAUAUUUUAAAAUCUAAGAUAAAAAUACAUUAUAAAAAAAUGCUUAAAUUUACUUAUAAAUUACAGAAUCCUUAUGGAAUCAUAAUAUUUAUGAAGAUUAUGGAAGUGCAAGAAAAUAUAUUCAUAAGACAUACUAAGAAAUUUUUACAUGGCACUGUAAAGAUAUAAAAAUAUAAAUCACAUCUCCUCUGCCAAUUCACAACACUUCUUCCUUUUUAUAUUUCUCAAACAAUCUUACAGUACCCAUACUUAUAUAAUAAAUAUGCAGAAAACUCCAUUCCUCUUAUCUUCACUAAACCCAUCUAUAUUUCAACAAUCAAUCCCAUCAUAACAACUUACAACCAAUACAUUUUUACAUGCACAAUUUUCAGAAUCAUAACACAAGUCAAUUUAUACUCAACAGGUACAUAACAGUUUAAAUCAACACAUAAUUCAGGAUUCAACAUGCAUAUAUCUCAUAAAUUAAUUUCAAACAAAAAUAACUAGCUUCCCUUACCUUGGGUUUUCACGGUAAGCUAAUUUGAAGACUUCCUAAUAGAAAUUCUCACCCGAACAGAAAAACAACAGUACCUAUAAACCACCAUAUCGGCGGUAGAGAAUAACUCUUGGAGUGAGAACUUAACAGAAAUUAGAAAAAGGAGGGUUCUAACUGCAUAAAAUCAGUAGAACCCCAAGCUCUAAGUUUCGAAAAUAGUGGAGAAAAGGAGAAAAUAUACUUACCGGUCGGAAUGGAAGAACGCCCGGUUCAAAUUGAAGCCCUCGGUGCAGUGAGCAAGGAAACACUUUCAAAUUAAAAUUUGAUCGGUUCAAUGAAUAGAAAUUUAGAGAGAAGACAGAGCAAUAUUUGGGAAAAAGGGUUUGAGAGAGAGUGGAAA
rnacentral:lncRNA from 1 species